rnacentral:rRNA from 1 species
UACGGAGGAUGCAGGCGUUAUCCGGAUUUAUUAGGUUUAAAGGGUGCGCAGGCGGCAAGGUAAGUCGGCGGUGAAAACCCGUGGCCCAACCACGGACGUGCCAUCGAUACUGCCAGGCUUGAGUGCAGAUGAGGGAAGCGGAAUGAGUGGUGUAGCGGUGAAAUGCUUAGAUAUUACUCAGAACACCGAUUGCGAAAGCAGCUUUCCAAUCUGUAACUGACGCUCAUGCACGAAAGCGCGGGUAGCGAAC